AUUGAACGCUGGCGGCAUGCCUUACACAUGCAAGUCGAACGGCAGCACGGGUGCUUGCACCUGGUGGCGAGUGGCGAACGGGUGAGUAAUAUAUCGGAACAUGUCCUGUAGUGGGGGAUAGCCCGGCGAAAGCCGGAUUAAUACCGCAUACGAUCUACGGAUGAAAGCGGGGGACCUUCGGGCCUCGCGCUCUAGUGUUGGCCGAUGGCUGAUUAGCUAGUUGGUGGGGUAAAGGCCUACCAAGGCGACGAUCAGUAGCUGGUCUGAGAGGACGACCAGCCACACUGGGACUGAGACACGGCCCAGACUCCUACGGGAGGCAGCAGUGGGGAAUUUUGGACAAUGGGCGAAAGCCUGAUCCAGCAAUGCCGCGUGUGUGAAGAAGGCCUUCGGGUUGUAAAGCACUUUUGUCCGGGAAGAAAUCCUUGGACCUAAUACGGUCGGGGGAUGACGGUACCGGAAGAAUAAGCACCGGCUAACUACGUG
rnacentral:rRNA from 1 species